GUUCACUUAGUUUCACACAGUUUCCGAUACACUGAGUACUAAAUGCAAUUCUUGCAGGUGUGAGAGAAGGGAUGUGGCUGUGCAGAACCAGCUACUUUAUGUAAAUAGCGUUUACUAAUAAACUCCUAUGAUCGCUAACAUGCAUUCCCUAGAUACUGCCAAUGUCUCCCCCAGGAGGCUGUGAAAUUGUCCACUCUGACCUGAAAUGGUGUCCCCUUUGUUAUUUGACUAGCAUAGACACGAGCAUCAUCAAAUGAUACUCUAAAAGGGUCUGGGGUCAGCACAGAGCCUGGACUGCUGGAGCAUAAUGCAGGAUGCUCCUUGUGCAGGCAGCUCUCUACUCGCUGUCAUUUUGUAUCCCAUCAGGACAUCUUCUAAAGGUGUAAAGCUUUUCCUCAUGAAAGGUACGGCUGAGCAAAUCUUAACACCAGCCUGGAGACCAAUUGUGACUUUGAUUACACUGCCAUUAGCUCUAUGGCCAUAUGAGGUUUUAACAGUGCAGUGCAUGAUCCUUUGCAAUGGAAAAGGCACUAAAUGACCAAGUCCUUGCCCUGAAGACGCAGCAAAUUAAGAUCCUAAGUCCCAUGAAAAGCAUGGUUAUUGGUACUUACGUUGUGGGGUGAAUAAGCAAACGGAGACGUCGACUUUUUGCCUCCUUCAUUCUCAAUUCAUUACCGAUAAAUUGGCAUGCUGAGAAUCUUAGAAUUGAAUUUAUUGUACAUUACAGUUUUCACAGAUCUUUGACAGAAUUGGCUGACUUAUAUCACCCAAAAGGAAUGUCCACUGGAAUUAAAAUAACACAGCAGUUAAUGUUUCUUUUGGCAUCUGAAAUAGUUAAAUAUGCAAAGCAAAAAAGAAACAAAUAAAUCUGUGCUAAACAUUUGCUUUAAAAACUGGAAGGAACAAAAGUCAGGAAAUUUAAGACAAGAUUGAUAAAAUAACCAGAGUAUGUUAUUAUAAACAGUAUAUUGGUUUACCGAAAUGUAUAACCAUAUAAAUAUAUGUAUGUUAAUGAAAUAAAUUAUAUUUAUUUGAUUAAUGAAGUAAAUGUAUAUGAAUGAAAUAAACUGAAUACUCCUACAUCUAUUUUCUCAUCAUUUUAAAAUGAGAUUAUGAGUUAUAUUUAAGGUUCAAUUGUUAGUUUCUCUUGUUUAACUCGCCGUGGUUAUAAAAUAAAAAGACAGCAAAACCUAUAAGCAAUUAUCUCUGUCCAAAUGGAUCUAGCAGCUCCAAGCCACAGCUACAUGGCUCCCAAACAAUGAUUAUGAAAACCACAGUUGAGCGAAGCAUCAGGAAACGGCAUUGCGAAACCACAGCAACAAAUGUGUCUGCGAUACUGAAAACCACAAUUCACAACUAAUACCCCGUGUCGCCAAUGACUAUUAACUAUACAUGUGCAAAUGUGUAAGUAACCGCACAAAAUAAUUUCUCAUUUACGUAAAAAUGAAUUAUUCAUUUUUGAGACUCACAAGAUUUAAUGCCCACAUAUUGGUUUGUUUAGAAAAGUUUCUGCUUCUUAUAAGAAAUUCUUCUAAAUCCCACGUAAAAUGAUAAUUAAUUUAAAAGCAGAGAACAUAUAACUCUGAAUAAUAGCUUCUCAAAUAUUUAAAGGAUUGAUCCGCAAUCAAUCUGAAAUGAGCACCUACCUCUUUCUACUCUCCUUCCUAAAGUCUCAGAAGUAAAAGGCAUGUUAGCAGGAACUGAUUAAGAAAGAAACAAUGGAAAGGAUUUGAUUGCAAAUUCAGCGAGAACAGGGCUGUAUGUGCUUUUAAAUAGUUGCUCAUCAGUGUUUACUUACAGAUGAAUGAGAUGAUAUCCUGUAUAAGCCUAUAAGGCUGUUGCAGUCUUACAAUUAAUAUGGAAAAUGUCCAGUUAAAUAGAAGUGUCAAGAGAUGUAAUUUAUUUGAGAAAAAAUAUGCUCCAUGUACGUAAUUACCCUACUCAUAUUUUGAACUUAUCUGAACUUCAAAUUUAACUGGAUACCUUGUAUUUUAUCAGGAAAACCUACAAAUAUAACAUUUUGGCAUGUAGAUAGAUAGAUAGAUAGAUAGAUAGAUAGAUAGAUAGAUAGAUAGAUAGGUAUAGAGAGAUAGGUAGACAGAUAUUUAUAAUCCCGUUUGUAUAACAAGUAGAGAAACCAUGACAUACUUCCUGUAGUCAUAAAUAAAUUAAUUCUUGAUUGAUGCAAUAUUUAGGGAAGGUAUGGUAAAAGGAAUAAACUUCUCUGCAAAAAAUCUAAUUAUUUUAGCACAGUACAAAAAUUCAACUCGUAGAAUAAGUGGAUUGUAUUCAUGUCUGUCUGUUCUGGGAUUUGUUUUAUAAAUGAGCUUCUCUUUUUUCUACAGGGAAUCAACAAAUUGACCAAGAAAGCUCCCAGGCCAAUCUUAUGAGAUAGCAAAUUAUCUUCUUUAUUAUGAAAAAUAACACUUUCUAAUGUGGUAUCAGAAGAACAUGGGACAGCUGUUCCACACAACCAUCAAAAGAUCAAAUCUUGCCAGCGCCGUGACUCCUGUUUCCCAGCACACUGUGACUCUGUAAAUCAACUUGAAGAUCUGGCACCCCCAUGUGGGUUUUGCCCAACAAAUAGCUUCUGUCUACUUGAUAUAUAACUGAUUCUUAAUAUGAGUGAUAAUAAUAACA